UACGUAGGGGGCUAGCGUUGUCCGGAAUCAUUGGGCGUAAAGAGUGUGUAGGCGGUGCUCUAAGUCUGUUGUGAAAUCUCCCGGCUUAACUGGGAGGGUGCGGCGGAGACUGGAGUGCUAGAGUGUGGGAGAGGUAAGCGGAAUUCCUGGUGUAGCGGUGAAAUGCGUAGAUAUCAGGAGGAACACCUGUGGUGUAGACAGCUUACUGGGACCACGACUGACGCUGAGACACGAAAGCGUGGGUAGCAAACAGG
rnacentral:rRNA from 1 species